UAUGUGAUCGUCUCUCGCAUAUCAAUAAGCGGAGGAAAAGAAACUAACAAGGAUUCCCCUAGUAACGGCGAGUGAAGCGGGAAGAGCUCAAAUUUGAAAUCUUAAAGGGUUUCCCUUUACGAAUUGUAGCUUAAAGAAGUGUUUUCUGUUGAGGUUUUGGUAAAAGUUCUUUGGAAUAGGACAUCAUAGAGGGUGAGAAUCCCGUAUUUGACCUUUACCUUCAACUUUGUGCUACACUUUCAAAGAGUCGGAUUGUUUGGGAAUGCAGUCCAAAAUGGGUGGUAAAUUUCAUCUAAAGCUAAAUAUUGGCGAGAGACCGAUAGCGAACAAGUACCGUGAGGGAAAGAUGAAAAGAACUUUGAAAAGAGAGUUAAACAGUACGUGAAAUUGUCAAAAGGGAAGCGUUUGACACCAGUGUUGUUUUUCUGAAAAUCAAUUAAAGAACUGUUUAUGCUAAGCUGUUUAGACUUUAUCAGCUAAUCUGUUUAGUUUUGAGCUUUUCUUUAAUGCACUUUUCAGUUAACAAGUCAACAUCAAUUUCUUUUGCUGUAAAAAAGCUUGAGGAAGGUGGCUUGAGAUUCGUCUUAAGCGUUUAUAGCCUCUUGCCUAUGCAGUCGGAGAGAUUGAGGUCUGCAGCGUAGAUCCUUCGGGGCUAAAUGCAUUUGUGCUAAGUUAUAGCAUUUUAUAGACAACUUGUUGACUAUGAUUUGUCUUGUAGCUUACUCGCUUAUGUUAUUUUACCUACGCUUAGGAUGUUGAUCUGUAGUGCGUGCGC
rnacentral:rRNA from 1 species